rnacentral:rRNA from 1 species
GAUCCUGGCUCAGGAUGAACGCUGGCGGCGUGCUUAACACAUGCAAGUCGAACGAUGACCUCCAGCUUGCUGGGGUGAUUAGUGGCGAACGGGUGAGUAACACGUGAGUAACCUGCCCUUAACUCUGGGAUAAGCCUGGGAAACUGGGUCUAAUACCGGAUAUGACUCCUCAUCGCAUGGUGGGGGGUGGAAAGCUUUUUGUGGUUUUGGAUGGACUCGCGGCCUAUCAGCUUGUUGGUGAGGUAAUGGCUCACCAAGGCGACGACGGGUAGCCGGCCUGAGAGGGUGACCGGCCACACUGGGACUGAGACACGGCCCAGACUCCUACGGGAGGCAGCAGUGGGGAAUAUUGCACAAUGGGCGAAAGCCUGAUGCAGCGACGCCGCGUGAGGGAUGACGGCCUUCGGGUUGUAAACCUCUUUCAGUAGGGAAGAAGCGAAAGUGACGGUACCUGCAGAAGAAGCGCCGGCUAACUACGUGCCAGCAGCCGCGGUAAUACGUAGGGCGCAAGCGUUAUCCGGAAUUAUUGGGCGUAAAGAGCUCGUAGGCGGUUUGUCGCGUCUGCCGUGAAAGUCCGGGGCUCAACUCCGGAUCUGCGGUGGGUACGGGCAGACUAGAGUGAUGUAGGGGAGACUGGAAUUCCUGGUGUAGCGGUGAAAUGCGCAGAUAUCAGGAGGAACACCGAUGGCGAAGGCAGGUCUCUGGGCAUUAACUGACGCUGAGGAGCGAAAGCAUGGGGAGCGAACAGGAUUAGAUACCCUGGUAGUCCAUGCCGUAAACGUUGGGCACUAGGUGUGGGGGACAUUCCACGUUUUCCGCGCCGUAGCUAACGCAUUAAGUGCCCCGCCUGGGGAGUACGGCCGCAAGGCUAAAACUCAAAGGAAA